CGAAACACGUGGUACCCUUCCGACCACCGCGCCCCCUCCCCCACUUCGUCCCACUUCCUUCCGUAUGCAGAUAAUUACUCUUACUACAUAAGAGACGUUGAUGGAGGAGCGUCUUCAGGGUCUGAAUCUAUCGCGUGUUCUACGAUGUAAAGAUGGGGACAUAAUUAGCAGAUGGUAAUUAAAUUGAACGAGUGACAAACAUUGGCAGAUGGCAAUGAACGCUCGUAAUUCUGCAUGUCAGUUUGCUUCAGGUGGAGUAAACGCGAUAUGUAGAUCGUAGACGAAUGUGAUGAAUGUUUAUAAUUAUGUACAGGUAUGUAGAAUGGUAUGCUUUUUUUUUUAGGAGGGUUAUAUAAGUGACUCCAAUGUGAAAUGGAUGGAAUCUUUUACAGAUGAGUUCGUAACGAACAAAGUCAGAACCUAUCGAGUAUGAUGAAUUAAAAAAUGAAGAUAAGAUAAAACGAUUAAACAAGAUUAACUCCAAACAAUUAAAAGUUAUUGAAUUAAGCGGUGACAAGGUGCUCGACGCGUAUCGACGACGAAACGGAGAUCCUCGAGCGUGCUCAGGAACACGUGGUGUCCUUCCAACGACUACCCUCGAGCCACUUCCUCCUGACGUACAGACAAGAGUAACAACUAUUACUACAACUUCUAUAAACACAUCAGCAAUGCACCCCAGUCUCAAAGAAAAUAAUUUCAGAUUGACAAGAGAAGAGUAUCCUGUCAGAAGGUGCAGCUGUCGCCAAAUAAAUCGGUUACUUUCCACCCAACGUUCGCGAGAACGACGUACAAAGAGUUGAAUCGUGGACGAAACGAAGAUCCACGAUCGAAGAAAUUCGGCAUGCGAAUUACGCGCGAGCCUCGGUCGUCGCUCGGGACCACCGGUUCUGACGGCUAGAUUUUCAUUCGCUCGAACGGCUAGAAAGGACUCGGGACCGAAAGAUACCACGGACAGGGUACCGCGAAGGCAGGCUACUCGAAAACUCGACGUGUUCCAUGUUCGAGGGGGAGUAAAAACAGGUUUAAGAACGUAGUUGACCGGUCGACUUUUAAAUCGGUCAUCCGUCUAGCCGAGUAGAAAUCACGUCGAUUCGAAAUCAAGCACUCGUAUCAGCCAGGGAGGGAGCAUCGAAACUCACUAAAGAUCGUUGUCGUGUGGAUCAGCCGUGGUGGAACCGGUAAGUCGAACCGCACGAAUUAAAAAGAAAGGUGAGCGCGUUCGAGUCCGAGGGACGGUCCCGCGACAGCGUGGAAUAAGGAGGACACGUUUGCACUCGCGAUCGGUGAAAUAAUAUGUCGCGGAUAGAGGCACAUGGCAGGGCAUGUCCCCGCCGCAGGAUUAUACGUAGCAGCCGGCGUUCGGGCGCUCCGCGUCGCGACUGCCGCCGCGGCUAAAAAACCAUACGAUGACCUCAUCACACCGACUCUGUUCUCCUGCCCAUGUCACUGAUACUAGCUAUCCUGAAAACAUCGUCACCUGCCCGUCGCCUCCUGGAGGUUGUUGAUACCUGGUGUUAACCGCCGUCGAGACCACUGGCGUGUCCUUUGUGCCACCUUUUGAUUUAGAUUCGGAUUCACGUUUCUGUUCGUUACGUUUUCGUCAAGUCUACGGAUUUAAAAUUGUCACCUUAUGAUUUCUAUGAUCGUGAACUUGUAAUAAACGCGUCGCAGUCAAGAGGUUAAAUAUUGUAAAUAAAUAUAUCCCUCUAUAAACAUAGAAAAUACAA